CAACUGGGAUUGCCCUAGUAACGGCGAGUGAAGCGGCAAUAGCUCAAAUUUGAAAUCUGGCUCCUUUUAGGGGUCCGAGUUGUAAUUUGCAGAGGGUGCUUUGGCGUUGGUAGCGGUCUAAGUUCCUUGGAACAGGACAUCGCAGAGGGUGAGAAUCCCGUUUGUGGUCGCAUGCCUUCGCCGUGUAAAGCCCCUUCGACGAGUCGAGUUGUUUGGGAAUGCAGCUCUAAAUGGGAGGUAAAUUUCUUCUAAAGCUAAAUACUGGCCAGAGACCGAUAGCGCACAAGUAGAGUGAUCGAAAGAUGAAAAGCACUUUGGAAAGAGAGUCAAACAGCACGUGAAAUUGUUAAAAGGGAAGCGCUUGCAGCCAGACUUGCCCGUAGUUGCUCACCUAGGCUUUUGCCUGGGGCAUUCUUCUGCGGGCAGGCCAGCAUCAGUUUGGGCGGUCGGAUAAAGGUCUCUGUCAUGUAGCUUCCUUCGGGAAGAACUUAUAGGGGAGACGAAAUGCGACCAGCCCGGACUGAGGUCCGCGCUUCUGCUAGGAUGCUGGCGUAAUGGCUGUAAGCGGCCCGUCUUGAAACACGGACCAAGGAGUCUAACAUCUAUGCGAGUGUUUGGGUGUCAAGCCCGAGCGCGUAAUGAAAGUGAACGGAGGUGGGAACCCUUUGGGUGCACCAUCGACCGAUCCUGAUGUCUUCGGAUGGAUUUGAGUAAGAGCAUAGCUGUUGGGACCCGAAAGAUGGUGAACUAUGCUUGAAUAGGGUGAAGCCAGAGGAAACUCUGGUGGAGGCUCGCAGCGGUUCUGACGUGCAAAUCGAUCGUCAAAUUUGGGCAUAGGGG
rnacentral:rRNA from 1 species